CCUGCCGCUGGAAUUUCUCCCUGGGCAGAGAAUCAUCGUACUUAAAUCCACUCAAUUUGCUGCUACAGGCCUGAUGACAUUGAUUUCAUUGUUGAGUGAUAUUCCAUUGUACAAUCAUCGUACCUGAAUC